rnacentral:rRNA from 1 species
GAUGAACGCUGGCGGCGUGCCUAAUACAUGCAAGUCGAGCGAACAGACGAGGAGCUUGCUCCUCUGACGUUAGCGGCGGACGGGUGAGUAACACGUGGAUAACCUACCUAUAAGACUGGGAUAACUUCGGGAAACCGGGGCUAAUACCGGAUAAUAUAUUGAACCGCAUGGUUCAAUAGUGAAAGACGGUUUUGCUGUCACUUAUAGACGGAUCCGCGCCGCAUUAGCUAGUUGGUAAGGUAACGGCUUACCAAGGCAACGAUGCGUAGCCGACCUGAGAGGGUGAUCGGCCACACUGGAACUGAGACACGGUCCAGACUCCUACGGGAGGCAGCAGUAGGGAAUCUUCCGCAAUGGGCGAAAGCCUGACGGAGCAACGCCGCGUGAGUGAUGAAGGUCUUCGGAUCGUAAAACUCUGUUAUUAGGGAAGAACAAAUGUGUAAGUAACUAUGCACGUCUUGACGGUACCUAAUCAGAAAGCCACGGCUAACUACGUG